AUCGCUUCUCGGACUUUUGGUUAAGUUCAAGUGUAGUAUCUGUUCGUACCAGUUUAAUAUCUGAUACGUCCUCUGUCCGAGGACAUCAUAUUGCAUGCGUUUUUGGAGCAGGGAGAUGGAAUGGGAGCUUGCUCCGUCCACUCCACGCAUCGACCGGUACUGCAGUGCCUCCAGGAACGGUGCCGCAGAA